AUUUCUAAUUUAGAAUUUGUAACAUUAGACGAUGGUAAGUAAUUAAUUAUUUUAACUUACUGUUCAUUAUUGGUUUCAUGUCAGUUGGUCUAAGUAAAUAAUGUCCGGUGACACAAUGAUAGUUCAAAUAACGAUCUAAGUAUUUAGACAUUUUUCCAGCAACCCCUCAAAACAGGACCGAAGGCGUUAGCAUGUUUUUUUCACUACCCUCAUUGGUUUUGUUUUGAGGAGUGCUAGAGAAAUGCUUAAAUCGUUAUUGAACCUUGAAUUGGAGGCACUUAAAUUUCAAAAAUUACAAAUUUACAUUCAAAUUACAUAGUUAAUGGUAGCAAACAAAACAUUUGCAAAAAUCGUAUGUGGGGUUGCUGGAGAAAUGUACGUCAAGAAUGACAUCCCAGGAUAAUAGAGACGGGUGCAACUUCUGUUAUAGGUAAUUUAACGUAUACCUGUAAGCAACGAUAAACCAUUGAUUACGAAAAAAUGAUUCAUAGCGGAGUUCAGUUGAUAGUGGCGCUUUGUCGACAAUAUAUAUGCCAUAUUGUAGUAAAAUAAUUAAAUAUACUU